UACGUAGGUGGCAAGCGUUGUCCGGAUUUACUGGGCGUAAAGGGCUCGUAGGCGGUCUGUCGCGUCGGGAGUGAAAACUCAGGGCUUAACCCUGAGCCUGCUUCCGAUACGGGCAGACUAGAGGUAUGCAGGGGAGAACGGAAUUCCUGGUGUAGCGGUGGAAUGCGCAGAGAUCCGGAGGAACACCAGUGGCGAAGGCGACACGCUGGGCCGUACCUGACACUGAUGCGCGACAGCAUGGGGAGCAAACAGG
rnacentral:rRNA from 1 species